UACAGAGGUCUCGAGCGUUAGGCGGAAUCACUGGGCUUAAAGCGUGUGUAGGCGGAUCGGUAAGUACCUUGUGAAAUCCCACAGCUUAACUGUGGAACUGCUUGGUAUACUGCCAGUCUUGAGCCACUUAGGGGCUAACCGGAACAAAUGGUGGAGCGGUGAAAUGCGUAGAUAUCAUUUGGAACGCCAAUGGUGAAAACAGGUAGCUGGGAGUGUGCUGACGCUGAGGCACGAAGGCCAGGGGAGGCAAACGGG
rnacentral:rRNA from 1 species